rnacentral:ncRNA from 1 species
CUUAUCAAGAGUGGUUGAGGGACCGGCCCUAUGAAACCCGGCAACCUGCUGAAAACAGUAAGGUGCUAAUUCCUGCAACAAUUUAUGUUGGUAGAUGAG